UGGGGAAUUUUGGACAAUGGGGGCAACCCUGAUCCAGCCAUUCCGCGUGAGUGAAGAAGGCCUUCGGGUUGUAAAGCUCUUUCGGACGGAACGAAACGGUUAGCGUGAAUAGCGCUGACUAAUGACGGUACCGUAAGAAGAAGCACCGGCUAACUACGUGCCAGCAGCCGCGGUAAUACGUAGGGUGCGAGCGUUAAUCGGAAUUACUGGGCGUAAAGCGUGCGCAGGCGGCGGCACAAGUCAGGUGUGAAAUCCCCGGGCUUAACCUGGGAAUUGCGCUUGAAACUAGGUCGCUUGAGUGUGGCAGAGGGGGGUGGAAUUCCUGGUGUAGCGGUGAAAUGCGUAGAUAUCAGGAGGAACACCGGUGGCGAAGGCGGCUUUCUGGACGGUGACUGACGCUGAGACGCGAAAGCGUGGGGAGCAAACAGGAUUAGAUACCCGCGUAGUCCCUGAGCGGGCUGGGCAAGGCG
rnacentral:rRNA from 1 species